rnacentral:rRNA from 1 species
AUGCACGCUGGCGGCGUGCCUAAUACCUGCAAGUCGAGCGAACAGAUGAGGAGCUUGCUCCACUGACGUUAGCGGCGGACGGGUGAGUAACACGUGGAUAACCUACCUAUAAGACUGGGAUAACUUCGGGAAACCGGAGCUAAUACCGGAUAAUAUAUUGAACCGCAUGGUUCAAUAGUGAAAGACGGUUUUGCUGUCACUUAUAGAUGGAUCCGCGCCGCAUUAGCUAGUUGGUAAGGUAACGGCUUACCAAGGCAACGAUGCGUAGCCGACCUGAGAGGGUGAUCGGCCACACUGGAACUGAGACACGGUCCAGACUCCUACGGGAGGCAGCAGUAGGGAAUCUUCCGCAAUGGGCGAAAGCCUGACGGAGCAACGCCGCGUGAGUGAUGAAGGUCUUCGGAUCGUAAAACUCUGUUAUUAGGGAAGAACAAAUGUGUAAGUAACUAUGCACGUCUUGACGGUACCUAAUCAGAAAGCCACGGCUAACUACGUG